rnacentral:rRNA from 1 species
CGUAGGUGGCGAGCGUUGUCCGGAAUCACUGGGCGUAAAGGGCGCGUAGGCGGCAAUACAAGUCGCAUGUGAAAUUCCAGGGCUCAACCCUGGGGGGUCAUGCGAAACUGUAUGGCUUGAGUGCAGUAGAGGUAAGCGGAAUUCCUGGUGUAGCGGUAAAAUGCGUAGAGAUCAGGAGGAACACCGGUGGCGAAGGCGGCUUACUGGGCUGCAACUGACGCUGAGGCGCGAAAGCGUGGGAGCAAACAGGAUU